rnacentral:rRNA from 1 species
GGGACAAAGUGACAGGUGGUGCAUGGUUGUCGUCAGCUCGUGUCGUGAGAUGUUGGGUUAAGUCCCGCAACGAGCGCAACCCUUGAUUUUAGUUGCCAGCAUUUAGUUGGGCACUCUAAAGUGACUGCCGGUGCAAGCCGGAGGAAGGUGGGGAUGACGUCAAAUCAUCAUGCCCCUUAUGACCUGGGCUACACACGUGCUACAAUGGAUAGUACAAAGGGUCGCGAAGCCGCGAGGUGGAGCUAAUCCCAUAAAACUAUUCUCAGUUCGGAUUGUAGGCUGCAACUCGCCUACAUGAAGCCGGAAUCGCUAGUAAUCGUGGAUCAGCAUGCCACGGUGAAUACGUUCCCGGGCCUUGUACACACCGCCCGUCACACCACGAGAGUUUGUAACACCCGAAGUCGGUAGGGUAACCUUUAUGGAGCCAGCCGCCGAAGGUGGGACAGAUAAUUGGGGUGAAGUCGUAACAAGGUAGCCGUAUCGGAAGGUGCGGCUGGAUCACCUCCUUUCUAAGGAA